AAAAUCAAGAAGUGGGAGAUGAGAAAGGAGGAAAAAGAACAGAUUACAGGCCAUCUUCAAGAACAAAAGAAGGGAGUUGCUUGAAAAGAUUUGAUACAAUGAUGUAAGAUUCUAGCCUAGCUGCAGCAGGACACAAAACAGAAAAGGCUUUAAAGCUCCUUAGCUUACAGCACCAUGGCCUUGGCAAGUAAUGGAAGUCCACUCAUGAUUCCAAUCUUUAUAGCUGACUCUGAACUGCUAGCCCAUAGCAGCCUGGUUUAUGACAGCAAAACUUAAAAUUAAAACCAAUGUUAAAUGAGAAAGUAAAAGAAUCCCAUAAGACUGAAUUGGAAGCAAGCACUAACAUUUGAAUUUACCAACAACUGAAUCUAGAGACAUUUUAAUACUGGUGUCAACAACAGGAAACCAGGAAGUGAUAGGUUGUGAAGCAGACUUUGAUAUAUGCCAUGACCAUGGCUCUGCAACAGGCAAUCCAGAAAGAUCAGCUCAUUCGCAAGACACCGAAUAACCCAGUUGGAGUAUAAGCAGGGGAGAUACAGAAACAAUACUUUUGACCAGGAGACCCACCUAGACAAUAGCUGUUUCUUCAAAUGAUGACAUAAGGAAAGAGCAUUACUUCCUACAUUACACAGUGCCAUGCUCACGAGCCUGUCCAACUUUCUGCAACUACUUAUAAAAUGCCCAACAGACUGGACUGGGUGUGUGGUCACUAAGUCACAAUCUGCUGAAAGAAGGAGAAA